GUGGUACUCCCUCCGUACUGAAAUUCUUGUCUUAGAUUUGUCUAAAUACGGAUGUAUCAAGUCACGUUUUAGUAUUAGAUACAUCCGUAUCUAGACAAAUCUAAGACAAGAAUUUUGGGACGGAGGGAGUAUUAA
rfam:Triticum aestivum genome assembly, contig: Triticum_aestivum_CS42_TGACv1_scaffold_604962_7DL